CAGUAGCCGCGGGAAUACGUAGGUGACAAGCGUUGUCCGGAAUUAUUGGGCGUAAAGGGCUCGCAGGCGGUUUCUUAAGUCUGAUGUGAAAGCCCCCGGCUCAACCGGGGAGGGUCAUUGGAAACUGGGAAACUUGAGUGCAGAAGAGGAGAGUGGAAUUCCACGUGUAACGGUGAAAUGCGUAGAGAUGUGGAGGAACACCAGUGGCGAAGGCGACUCUCUGGUCUGUAACUGACGCUGAGGAGCGAAAGCGUGGGGAGCGAACAGGAUUAGAGACCCGUGUAGUCCCUGUCUCUUAUAA
rnacentral:rRNA from 1 species